UUUAUAUGAGAGUUUGAUCCUGGCUCAGGAUGAACGCCGGCGGUGUGCCUAAUACAUGCAAGUCGAACGCGUUGGCCCAAUUGAUUGAUGGUGCUUGCACCUGAUUGAUUUUGGUCGCCAACGAGUGGCGGACGGGUGAGUAACACGUAGGUAACCUGCCCAGAAGCGGGGGACAACAUCUGGAAACAGAUGCUAAUACCGCAUAACAGCGUUGUUCGCAUGAACAACGCUUAAAAGAUGGCUUCUCGCUAUCACUUCUGGAUGGACCUGCGGUGCAUUAGCUUGUUGGUGGGGUAACGGCCUACCAAGGCGAUGAUGCAUAGCCGAGUUGAGAGACUGAUCGGCCACAAUGGGACUGAGACACGGCCCAUACUCCUACGGG
rnacentral:rRNA from 2 species